UGUUUUCAAUUCAUAGUAACGCAGCGCGCGAUUGCGGUACUGUGCGUUGAAAAAUAUG
rnacentral:pre_miRNA from 1 species